GAAACUUUCUCACUUCUUUCCUUCUCAUUACUCACUCACUUCCUCAUGUCUGGCCUCUCUCCCUCCAUAGUCUAUUGAGCGCUUUCUCAGAUUUGGCCUCUCUGUCGAGUCUCUCCAGCAGCGCCACUCGAUCUCUCUCUCUCAAUUAUCGCUUGAAGCCUCUCUCUCGGUCUCAGGGGUCGCGGCCUCACCUUUGUCGGUCUGCCAUCAAUCAGCUCUCUUAGCUAUUGCUCCAUAAGAGAAAGCUGGCCUUUUGGAAGGCUCAAAGCCUAGUCUGCCUUGGUCAUUUCAGCAUCAGAAACCCUGGAAGAACCAGCAAAGCUCUCGCUCCUCUCUGAAUUCCGCCUCCUCUCUCUCUCUCUCUCUCUCAGGGGUUUCGCUCCUUCUCGAGUCGUAACACUCAACCUGAGACUUUCCUCCCGACCAGGGUUCACGCCGCACGUGCCCCCCUCGGCUGAGGACGUGGGUCGCGAGGACUGCCACGCUCCUGGAGAGUUCCUCAGAAGCAUCCUCCUGCGAUCGGAUCCCUUGCCGUCGCUGUGUUCGGAUCCUCGACGUGGGUGAAGUGCUCAGGUAUUAGGGUCGAGCGAGGCUUCGAUGAGCGACCUAAGCGAAAAGGAAGAGUGGAAGUCGCUACUCAUCUUGAUCGUGUCUCUCUGGCCGUAGAAAUCUCCUCAAGCACCACCUUAAAAAAGAAAAAGAAAAAAGAAGUCACCUGUAGCAUCAAUCUGGGCCGUUAUAUGGCGAACGAAGAGGCCAACUCAGGAACUGCACCUAGCGGCAACUACGAUGUGUUCUUGAGCUUUCGAGGACCCGACACCCGCAACACAUUCGCAGAUUGCCUCUUUGUGUUCCUGAAAAUCAGGGGAAUCCGCGUUUUUAGGGAUGACGAAGAGUUACGGCUGGGAGAAAAGAUCUCGGCGAUCUUGCGAGCAGUAGAAAACUCCCGAAUAUACAUUCCUAUUUUCUCCAAAAACUAUGCUUCGAGCAGGUGGUGCCUCCGAGAGCUGAAAUGCAUGGUGGAGAGCCAUGGCCAAACCCUGGGGAAACAGAUAAUACCUAUCUUUUACGAUGUGGAGCCUAGGGAUGUUAAGCUUGAAACGGAGCUGUACCAAAGCGCCCUAACAAAGCAUGAGGAGGACCUCGGCUGCACUGAAGUGAAGCAAUGGAAGGAGGCCUUGACCACGGUGGCUAGAAUCAAGGGGUGGCAUAUAAAAGAUAAAAGGCAAGGUGAGGUUAUCGAGGAUAUUGUUAAGGAUGUAUUGCUGAAGAUCAAUACAACAAAAAGAGAUUUGCCCGCCCAUCUAGUUGGAAUUGAUAAUCGUGUAGAGGACAUAAAGAGACUAUUAAAUUGUUAUUAUACUAGUGAUGUGCGAUUUGUCAUAAUCCAUGGGAUAGGUGGCAUGGGAAAGACAACGCUUGCCAAUGCAGUCUUCAAUCAACUCUCUCCUCAAUUUGAAGGUCACUCCUUCCUUUCAAACAUCCAAGACCUUGGCAUUGAAAAACUUCAGAAAAAAUUACUAGCGGAUCUUUUCCAUUUCUUACUUCCUGAAACCUUUGACUGUCAGGAAGGGAACAAUUUGAUUAGAAAAAUGUUACCUAACAAACAAGUCUUGCUUGUUUUUGAUGGCAUGGAUGAAAAUGAUCAAUCUAUGCAACUAGCGAAGUAUUGUACUUUGUGCGGUCCAGGGAGUAGGAUCAUCAUAACAACCACAAGUAAGAGUGUUUUUUCUAGGAUCGAGGUGGAAGGAUUUGAGGAAAAUGUCUCAACAAGGUCUACAAAAAUUAUUCCGUACGAAAUGAAGAAAAUGCAUUUGGAUCAUGCUCUUCAACUUUUCAACAAGCUUGCUUUCAACACAUAUUCAGCUCCACCUGAUCUAUAUGAUCUUUCAAAAGAAGUCAUUGAAUUCACCGGAGGACUUCCAUUGGCCGUUGAGGUGAUAGGUUCACAUCUCCGUGGCCAAAGCAAAGCACAGUGGAUAAGCACACUGGAUCAACUGAAGAAAGUGCCUCACAAAAAGGUCCAACAGAGGUUAAAAAUUAGUUAUGAUGCACUUGAAUAUCGGCAGCAACAAAUCUUUCUGGAUAUCGCAUGUUUCUUUGUUAACAAGAAAAUAACUAUUCCAAUGUAUAUGUGGGAAGACUCAGGCUUUCACCCGAGAUUUGAAAUUGAGGUUCUUAUUGGCAAGUCCUUGAUCAAGAUUGUUGACCAUAAUAGAAUAUGGAUGCAUGAUCAGUUAAAAGCUUUUGGAAGGGAAAUUGUUCGUCAAGAGCAUAUGAGGAAACCUGAAGAUCGAAGCAGAUUUUGGUUUCUUGAGAGGCCCAUGAAAAGGGAGUAGAGAAUGCAGUAGCGCUUACACCACGGAGAUUGGGAGACAAUUUUACAUGCAAAUAUUUUGCUGAUCUCACCAACGCGAGGUUUCUAAAAUUGGAUGGAGGGAACUUUGCUGGCAACUUUGAGGAUAUUUUGCCGAAGCUAAGAUGGCUUUGUUGGCAAAAUUGUCCUCCGGAACUUGAAGCGAAAAAGUUUGUGUUGAAUCACUUAGUCAUUCUUAAGCUUUCAGGCGAUAUCAUCAUAGACAAAUGGAGUGAAUGGGUCAAAAUCAUGGUAGCAAGUAAACUGAAAGUUUUGAAAAUAGCGGGGUCGAAGUCCUUAAUCAAAACACCUUGUUUUUCAGAAUUUAUGAGUUUGGAGAGAUUGGUUCUGGAAGAUCUUCCAAAUUUGGUACAAAUUGAUCACUCAAUUGGAAAACUAGAGCGGUUGAUUUACUUGAAGAUCAAAUGGUGUCCGCUCCUUAGAGGGUUGCCCUGGCAAAUUGGUUAUCUAAAUGCCUUGAGACAGGUCAUCUUGAUCCAGGGUUUCAGCAUUUGUUAUUUGCCAGACUCAAUCGGCAAUCUAAGACUUUUGUCAAGGCUAGUAGUGGAGGAUACGGGAUUAGUUGAACUUCCGAGCACAAUCAAAGGGCUAGCGGAUCUUGAGUACUUAAGUUUGGCGAAUUGUACGAGUCUAAAUUCGCUACCGGAUGCUUUGGAGGAGUUGAAGUCAUUGACUGAGUUGGAUCUAUCUGGGACAACCAUCGAGGAACUACCUCAUUCGCUUUAUAAUCUCAAGGAUCUAAUAUUACGGAUAAACAGUAGUAAGAUAAGAGCACGACUGGUGAGGGACUUGCCUUUCUUGGAAGGUAGUGAGGAUUGCUUGGACUCUAUAAGACUUGAAGCAAAUUGGGAAAGUGAACCAAAGAAUUUGAAGGAAGCGCAUCUCGAAAACGUCCGACAGGAGUUCAUGAGGGAAGUGUCAUUCAUAGGAAAUUCAAUGAGGAAAUGUGCGUAUUUAGUAGAGAAUUCAAUGAGGAAAGUGCCUCUUGAAAAGGUUCAACAGAAGCCUCUCAAAAAGUUCGACAGAAUUCAAUCAAUGAAGUGCCUCUCGAAAGAGCCCAACAGAAAUUAAUGUUAAUAUAUGAGGGACUUGAAUAUCGGGAUAAACAAAUUUUCCUGGACAUUGCAAGUAUCUUUCUAAGCAAGAAAAAAACUGAUGCAGUGUAUAUACGGAAAGGUUGUGCGAAAGUUGAAAUUGACACCCUUGUCAGUAAGUCCUUAAUCAAGAUUCUUGGUCAUGGCAAAGUGUGGAUGCAUGAUUGGGUGAUAGAUUUUGGGAGGGAAAUUAUUCAUCAAGAGAAUAUCGAGAUAUCUAGAGAUCAAAGCAGAUUGCAGUUUCUCAGGUUGGUCAAUGGAACGGUAAGUGCGAAUAACCCUAUUUUAUUCCUUCCUACCCUAGUACGUGUCUAAGAGUUCAUCUCUUGCACAUUCCCUUCUUCAUUAUUACUUGCUAAGAAACCCGUGCCACUGGAAAUACUGGUGAAUUACUUCUAUUUUUUCUUAAAAGAGAAAAUUGCUAAUUAUCUGAUUCUUUUCACUAACAAGUGCUGCACCCAUUUCCGAUUUGUGUGUGUGUGUGUGUUUUUUUUUUGUUAAAGAUAAGAUAAAAACAUUUGAAAACAAUAGAAAUUGGGUUUAGCAGAACAUUUGAAAUUGUCCAUUACAUAUGACCGAAAAAAGAAGAAGAAGAACUCGUCCAUUACAUAAUCAUACCAAUACAAUUAUCUUCUAACUUUGCAAUUCUUCUAAUUGAUAUAUGAUGAACAAAAAAAGGUAUCUAAGGUUUUUUGAAAUUGUUGGGUCUCCAGAAUUAAGUAUCUUUUAAAAAGGUUACAUCAGUAAUGUCUGGUAAAGCAAAAGAAAAAAAGAUUUCCCUCAUUUCUCGAAUCUAAACUCAAACUCCAUCACUCACUACUAAAAUCAUAAUUGCGAAAAUGCAUACAUCCAUCAACAAUCUGAUAAAAUUAACAACAGCCAAGUUUCUCAAUCCUAUCAACAUUAGCGAAAAUUAUGAAUAGGACAAUUUCGCUGAUGAGUAAGCGGAUUAUUAAGUACCAAAUCAUUUCCAUGGAAUCAAACACAAUCAUUAUUAUUGUACAUUCAUCAGUCCCAAAUCACUGCAUCCUUAGAAGUAAAAGUUUCACUUUAAAUGAGUACUCCAGAAUCCUUUCCCGUUGUCGAUAUGGCAACGAUUUCUUCUUUUUAUCCUUUGUACAAAGGCCAGAAGCCCGAGAUAAAGCGCACUCAAUAAUAGACGAGGCGAAAAGGAAAUCAAACCUUAGGUCUUCAGCUGUGUGUGUGUGUGUGUGUGUUCAGCUUCAAUUUCCAUCACCAGCGCAGCCUAUUUCUAGGCCUUCUUCGACCGAUAUUCCUUAUCAAACAUCUCUGAACAUUGCAUGCUGGCCAUUCAUUAGCACUCAUUCACAAGACAAGCUAGAAUUAUGUGGACUGAUCUAAAAAAUUCAGCAUGAUGGAUCAAUUUUGUACAGGAGCACAGCAUAUACACUAUUAUGACGUCAAUCGUCUUGGUCAUUUUUUUUAUGAGACGGAUGCUCCCACUGUCAGGAGAAUCUGACAGCUGGGACACAGCCUCCAAAGAAGACUGGAGCAUGGCUACGAUGCUUGACAGGAGAAACUCAGGGAUGCUUUUAUCUUACAAGUCCAUCUCGAUGAUCGUGUCUUUUCUGUCGUGGAUUUCGGUGAUCGGGGGUAAGUUAUCCAUCCUCAGGUCAACAUGGAAAAGGGACUACCAGAAGGCAGAAUAUAGGUCAAGCGUAAUGGCGCGGCUAAUAAUUUUACCCUCAGUGCUUUCCAUAUGUCUGUUAGGUGUUAUGACCUUGGCGGAUCGUAAACUCCCUCGGCUUGGCGAUGCCAAAUCUACUUUGUUACUCGGUCUCAUUGUUCGGAUCGCAAUCUCAGAAAAUGUGUUGCCUGAACGGGCUUAUUUCUUUCGGAUCCUCGUCGGACGCUUCCGUCUUCUUCUAGCUUGGUCUCGCUUAUAUUAAUCGGUGGGGGAACUGAGACAUACCUUAUGGAUGACUCCAAAGAGGAGAGAAUGGUGGCUGGACUUCUGCUCGCUAGUGAAUCGAAUAACCGAUUACUUUGCGACAACCAAAUGUGGGGAGGUGCCACGUCCUCCCAAUCACUGGUUUCCUUUUUUUUUUUUUUUUUUUGCCAAUCACUAGUUCCAGUUGAUCAUUUGAUAUUAUCGAUGAUUUGCGGGAAAUAAAUAUGUAUUAGCCUUGGUGUAUUUGCUAAUUUUACUAUGGCUUUCCUAUUGCGUUAAAUCAACGGUGUUUGUAACAGUACUUGAAUUAAUCCCCGUUUCUAUUUAUUAGCUUAAAUUUUU